rnacentral:rRNA from 1 species
ACUCCUGCGGGAGGCAGCAGUGGGGAAUAUUGCACAAUGGGCGCAAGCCUGAUGCAGCCAUGCCGCGUGUAUGAAGAAGGCCUUCGGGUUGUAAAGUACUUUCAGCGGGGAGGAAGGCGAUAAGGUUAAUAACCUUGUUGAUUGACGUUACCCGCAGAAGAAGCACCGGCUAACUCCGUGCCAGCAGCCGCGGUAAUACGGAGGGUGCAAGCGUUAAUCGGAAUUACUGGGCGUAAAGCGCACGCAGGCGGUCUGUCAAGUCGGAUGUGAAAUCCCCGGGCUCAACCUGGGAACUGCAUUCGAAACUGGCAGGCUAGAGUCUUGUAGAGGGGGGUAGAAUUCCAGGUGUAGCGGUGAAAUGCGUAGAGAUCUGGAGGAAUACCGGUGGCGAAGGCGGCCCCCUGGACAAAGACUGACGCUCAGGUGCGAAAGCGUGGGGAGCAAACAGGAUUAGAAACCCGUGUAGUCCCAUGAU